AUUUAAUCUGCUUUUCUGCUAAUUUUUUGGUGAUCCCCCCUUCUUCUGAAUUGAAUUUGGCAUGCUGUUUCCUCUAUCCGAUCUCCUGAUGAGGGACUUAUUCAAGAUGCCAUCAUUAACAGGCUGUGCAAAAUCCAAUUUUGUUAAUCGUAUAAAGCUAAUGAUUGAAUGAAUUUGUGGAUUAUAAUUUUGAUAAACUUCUAGCUGAUUAUGCUACAAAUUGGAUUGAAUAUUCCAGUUAUUUUCCCCCAAUAUUUCAACGAAAUUGUCUGCUACUUUGUUGUGAUUUUCCACUUAUUCUUAGAUUCCUUUGGUGUUUUCAAGGAGUUCCUCAAUAGACUAAAACUGGGUUUUGUAUCAUUUUGUUUUGUUUAUUUGUUGUGGCAAGUAUACAAUGCAAUCACAACUCAGACUGCCUUUUAUGGCAGCUCUCUCUUUUUGUUCUGCUUCCUUUUUGCUUUUUUGUGCUAUCACUAUAUAUAUAGGGUUGAAAAAUUCUCAAAUUAGAGAAGAAAGCCAAAUCAGACCAUCUACCCCUGCAUUUCCUGUUAAAUAUGCAUGAUGUGGCUGUUCUUUUGGACUCAGAAGUGUUCUAGCCAACCAAUUGUUAGUUCAACAGAUUAAUAGAAGGUAAAAUAUUUGUGAUCGGAGCAACCUCAGAUUGUUGGCUUGGUAACCAUAAUGUUUCAAGUUUGACUCUGAGUAGGAGCCUAUUGGCAUGUGUUGGCAUUUGGGAAUUUCCAUGGUUUCUCAAUCGAGAUGCAUAACAUCCGAUCAAAUUGAUGAUCAACUAAAUUCAACAGCUUCUGUGCAAUGCAAGCCUGCUCCAUCUGAGUUCCUCAACCUUAUACGUGAGAACAUUCCUUCGGGGACAUCCGAUAAAAUUGGAACGAUACAGAGAAGAUUAGCAUGGCCCCUGCGCAAGGAUGACACGCACAAAUCGAGAAAUGGUGCAAUUAUUUUUUAUUCUU